UGCCGUCCGCCAACCGCGUGCGCUCUGCGCGAGAUGGGGCGAUUUUGCCGACGCUUCCAUCGAAUCCAAAGACGACCCGCGUUUCGGCCGCCGCCCAACUGCCUUCCCGCGGGCCGCGCGCGUCGUCGUCGUCUUCCAUUCCAGAUGCAGAGAUGCAGGAGAGGAGCCGAGCUGCGUCGUCUUCACUGGGCGAACCCACCACCUUACUGGUACUGCAUCCCCAAUCAACCAGCCUGCUCUGCACUAACCCAGAUCAAGCCUACCUUGCUUCGCCGGCGGCGUCGGUCGACGCCAUGGAUGCACAGGUAUAAAAGUACCAUCAGCCAAUUGAACUUGUGGUCUCCUUUCCUUCACCCAUUGGAAACACUGGGCAAGUCUCCAGCCUCUGGUCUUCAUCAAGAAGGCUAUCACAAAUGCUGCAGAUCUGGUAAAAAGACUGGAAGUACGAGCAUCCAUACCUAAAAAUUGUAUUGCAUCAUCAAACUGCAGAGUCUUCUCAUCUUGAAGGCAAUGUUAUCGAAGAGAGUUAUAUCCUUCUGAUAAGGAUAUACAUGAUAAGGUAGGAGUGGCAACACUUGGAGAAACACAUCAAUAUCGCUUCAGGUGGUUUCAGGGCUUUGGGCAUAUGCAACAGUGUGGACCGAUGCAUUGUGGAAUCAAGUGGUGUUACAGAUGAAAGACCCCCCCCCCCUCUUUGUUUUUUUCCUUGACAUCAACAAAUGAAUGGUUAAGGAACCAACAGCAUACACUACAUGUUGGUAUCCUCUUCAUUUUACAUCAAGCUCUGGCACAGAUAGGAUAAGGCCGUAAAAGAAAUUUCAAAGUGUAUAAUGUGCCAAAGCCCAAAGGUCUAGCUUUGGAAAGGUUGGUGAUUCUGAGUCAAUGCAACUCCUGCAAAUAGACCAAAACGAUUCAUAGCAAAUCAACACAAGUAAUGUAAGAUACUGUGGCCUAUUCUUUUCCAAAGAGAUUCCAUGAUCCUGCUCUAAAAAAUAAAAAAAGCUCAAACGAGACUGUAGUUACAUAGAGCGAGAUACUGUUAUGCAUGCAUCAUAACCACGGAUUCCA